GCUAACGAAUUUCAUAGUGGAUGCAGCUACAAAACAAUCAGAGAAUAAUAAAUACAAUGACAAGUCGAACGAUUAUUUACGAUUAUGAAAAUCUAACAGAACAAAUUAAAGCGAAUAUGACAGGCAAUGCAGCAGCUGAAAACGAUUCCAAAUACAUUUUAAUGGUGACCAUAGCAACAAUAACCUGGCUGCUGCUCAGCUGCAUAAGUGGCUUCAUUUAUUGUUGCAAUUACUGGCAACAGUUGGGGAACUCAGCGGGCAUAGAAACAGUGGAGCAAUCGGACCAAUCGGAACUGGACCAACAACAGCAGAGCAUGCUGCUCGGACAGGUCGAGUCAGCGAGGUGAACAGCAGCCAAGGAUUUGGGAUUAGAUGGAAAGAGAAGGUCAAAGCAGUGAACAAAGUGAAACAAAAUAAAUAAGCCAAAUAUAAGGGCUGCUGAACAAAGGUA
rnacentral:sRNA from 1 species